rnacentral:rRNA from 1 species
GUGGGGAAUAUUGCACAAUGGGCGCAAGCCUGAUGCAGCCAUGCCGCGUGUAUGAAGAAGGCCUUCGGGUUGUAAAGUACUUUCAGCGAGGAGGAAGGCAUUAAGGUUAAUAACCUUAGUGAUUGACGUUACUCGCAGAAGAAGCACCGGCUAACUCCGUGCCAGCAGCCGCGGUAAUACGGAGGGUGCAAGCGUUAAUCGGAAUUACUGGGCGUAAAGCGCACGCAGGCGGUUUGUUAAGUCAGAUGUGAAAUCCCCGGGCUCAACCUGGGAACUGCAUUUGAAACUGGCAAGCUUGAGUCUUGUAGAGGGGGGUAGAAUUCCAGGUGUAGCGGUGAAAUGCGUAGAGAUCUGGAGGAAUACCGGUGGCGAAGGCGGCCCCCUGGACAAAGACUGACGCUCAGGUGCGAAAGCGUGGGGAGCAAACAGGAUUAGAUACCCUAGUAGUCC